GUUUACAGCUGCUAUAUAAACAGUACUCUUCUAAUACUUCUUGGGUCCUUUGCUCCUGGUCCUGUGAUGAGGCCAGUACCGAGAGAAUAAAGCAUGGUGCAAGCAGGGAAACAAGCCACUCUGCUUCCAAGCAGGUGAAAACCAGGUAGGGGUGAAACCCAUCACCAAAACUGGAUUAGAGGAAUCAUAAUAAUGAAAAUGAGGCAGCAUAACUGAAAAGACAUGUGACACUAAAACUUAAAAUGAAGAUGUGAAGCAGUUAGUUAGGGACAUAGCAGAAUAAAGUUUAGAAGACAGGUGACUAAUAUAAAGACCUGAGAGACUUUUCUAAUGAAAGCAAUGAGAAAACUAAUAAUUCUGAGAAUGAGUAAGUGGAUGAAUUUAAUUUUAGAGUAGAAAAGAUUAAAACUUAAAUAUUUAAAAUAUGAAGUUAAAUUAUGGCAAAAG
rnacentral:lncRNA from 1 species